AUGCCUCCUUGUGUGACACCAUCAAGUCCACCAUAAACCAAUGGAUGGAAUAACUCUCAGCAACUUGUCCCUUUCCUCCCCUGCUCCCCUUGGGUAAGAAACUGUGCAAGCUUCAAGAACAGCAGAAAGAAGAGGCAUCUCCAAACCAGUCUUCCUGGCUACUUGGCAGUUCUCCAAGAAGACUUGGCUAGUCUGGGGUAGUAGAUAAUAUCUUUCAGAAAAGCUUCCUGGUAAAAUUGAGUGACUUAUAUACUAGCUAAUCUUUAGACUGCAAAUACAGUAAUUUCUAGGCAUUGUAGUGAGGAUGGAUAGUAAUACGUGGCACUCACACUAAAUACUGAGAAAUCACUGCAGUCACCACUGCUACUGUUACCACCAUUGAGAUAGUAGAAUAGAAGCUUUCUUCACCUGUCUUCACAUCACUGAGCCACUAACCAGUGCUCUCCCCUGCCACUGUAAACAUUCUGUGGCCGCCCACAGUGCUCUGAAAGUUGGAGGCUGGUCAGUGACACCUCAGUGAGCUCUCCCACAUCUGCCUUCAUUCAAUGAGUCAUUUGAUUAACAAGAGUCUGUGGAUUGUUCCCAUGCCUUCUAAUGCCAGUUAUAUUUGUAACUUUAAUUUCAAAAUUCAACUGAAUUACUUACUAUAUAAACUAAAAAACUAUGAGUGUGAAAGCAAGAGAAUAGUUGCUUCUGUGAAAAAUAAGUCAAAUGCUGUGGAAUGACUUGAAAAAUAUGAGUUCCUAAAAAAUAUGCUGAACAAUGCAGUGAGGAAGAAACUACUGUAAAGAUGAAAAAAUACACAAACAAUGAAGGAUUCUGCAUUCAGAUAUCUUUGGAUUUCUCAGCCAAGCAUCAAUGAAUCUUGAAUCUCAGCUGAUGACACUCCUGGGCAAAAUGGCUAUGAAACUGGAAAGAUGUCUAUGAAACACACAGUCCCUCAAGCCAGAAAAUGCACUUGACACAUCUGUGUCCCUUGAGGAACCUGAAGUUUUGGUGAAUCCAGAAAGCCAUGGAUGGCAGAACUGACCACAGAAAAAGAAACAGAGGCUCAGAAAGGUGAAGCCAAUUGCCUGAAGCCACACAGAAUAUCAGCUGGAGUCAGGAUUCUAACACCAUCCCAUACGAGGAAACCAAGCUUCAAGGAAGCUGAGUCUCCUGUCCAAGCCCACGCAGUUGGCAAGUUGCAGAUCUGGAGUAGAGUACAAAACUCUCUCAUCUGUGUCUCCAAGACACCAUGACCCAUCAUGGCUUCCUUCUGCUGGUUCAGGCGUAGUCUCAGAAUUUUUCCUGCGCCAUUGCCCGCGCCACCCCAUCAACCCCAUCUGUUGCAGGUAGCUGAUGCUAUCUACUGCCAGCCUGGAGCCAGGCUAAGAGGAAGAGAAAGAAGAAAAUGCCUGCAGAAACAUUCUAUGUAAAGAACACUUUGGGAUCAGAAAAAGAAGCGCGCCCGUGUUUCACUUGCAGCCUCACCCUGCACUAGGUAACCCUCCUUCCUCCACUGCACAAUCACUUAGAAACUGUAACUCUUCUUGGGCCCAGGUGCACAGGUAAAUUCGGAUCUUUCCCAAGGCCCUGCAUGCUACCGUGAUUUUUAGGAACCCUAUGUCACCUCACAGAUCUGAGCAUAUAUGAGUUGGGCUCGUCACCCGGCCUUCUGGGAGUCUCAGUUUCCCUAUUUGUAAAAUGGACAUAGUAAACCCAUCUCCAUCUCACAGAGGAUAGUAAAAAGAGCCCUGGCCUUGGAGUCUGGGGGCUGGGCCACAGGUCAGGCUUCAAGACCCCCUGGGCCACGUUGGGGACUUGGGUUCCUGAGAUCCAAUCUCUGAGCAUCAGCUUCACUGUCUGUCGCAGAAGCACCAUUUCCCCACCUUGUCCACCUCACAGAACAGCCAGGUGGCUUAGAGGUGAGCUCUCAAAUGUCAACAGGCUUUGCAAACUCCAGUGGUCAGCAUUAUGUGAGUAGUUCAGUCUUUCCACAGGGAUCUCUGGGGCCUCGGGUCACAGCAGACCAGAACUUGACCUGGAGGCUGGUGUCCCCCAAACUGCUGUAUGGACCCUGCAACAGCUGGGGAGUCCUCGUCUCAACAGCCCUGCUGUCUCCCACUGAGGUCAUCUGCUGGCCCUCCUGGUGGCCCUGUGAGGAAGCCAGGAGUCACUGAUGCUGCUCUAUCGACGGCGACAGAUGGAUCACAGCUGAUAAGUGACUUGCCCAGAGUUUUGCAGCUUGGAACUCACAGAGCAGAAGCUGGGAAUCAGGUGGGGAAGCACCCAGCUCUCUGCUUCUCCUAAGCCAAGCUCUGCAGCGAGGUCCUGCUUCCCUCGGGACUCCUCUUUCAGCAUGACAUGAACUCAUUUUGAAUGUAAAGGCAAUGUCAAAGCCCUACAGCUAUUUAUACCAGAGCAUGUGUUUAUUAGCUCACUCUCCAGGGGGAAUAUUGCUGUUGUGAAUACACAACUACUCAUAACUACCGUCUUAAAAAUCUUCUCUACCCCAAAAUAUUUACUAAUGUAUUUAAGUAUUUAUUUUCUUGUAGUGAAAGGAAAUCAAGAUAAUUCUAAAAUUGUGGAAGAAAACAAAAAAAGUAUAAAGGAGAAAACAGAAGCUUCACAUAUUCUAACCAUUAUUAAUCUCAAAAUAUUUUAUUCCAGGUCCUUGUCUAUGGUCCAGGUCCUUGUCUAUGGUCCUAUAGCCUAUGCUGAGUGACACUGUGCUAUGUGUAUGCCAUUUGCACUCACCGUGGGGUCAUAAGCGUGCCAUUUCCUUUUUAUUAAAAAAAUACUUUGCAUACAUGAAAGUAUGUUUGCAUUAAAACUAUGCAAACAUCAGUUUUAAUAACUGUAUAAAUAUUCCAUCACAAGGACAUUCCAUAAUUUAUUUAAUCACUUUGGUAGUGUUGGACAUUUAAUUUUUUAAAAAGUCAAAUAAUGCCAGGAUUAAUGCCUGUUUAUAUGAACCAGUUUUCAUUUCCUGAUUAUUUUCUUCGGCCAGAUCCCCAAAAGUGGAAUUACUGAUAAAAGUAGGUGAGUGUUUUUAACACAUUUCUUCUUAUACACACACACACACACACACACACACACACACACCCAUCAACAAAUAGUUUUUCCUGGAAGGAACUUCCAGUAGUGUAUGAGAAAGCCUAUUGCACCACACCAUCCCCAGCAAUGAGAAUUACUACUGUAAAAAAAUCUUUGUUACAUUAAAUUUUUGGAGGACAUCUCAUUUUCUUGAUUGCAUUUGAUUAACUCAAAAUGUAUUUCUACAGGGUGGGGAACAUCACACACUGGGGCCUGUCGUGGGGUGGGGGGAUGGGGGAGGGAUAGCAUUAGGAGAAAUACCUAAUGUAAAUGACGAGUUAAUGGGUGCAGCAAAC
rnacentral:lncRNA from 10 species